CCUACGGGAGGCAGCAGUGGGGAAUUGUUCACAAUGGGCGCAAGCCUGAUGACGCAACGCCGCGUGGGGGAUGAAGGUCUUCGGAUUGUAAACCCCUGUCGAACGGGACGAAAGACCCGGGAGCUAAUCAUCCUGGGAGUGACGGUACCGUUAAAGGAAGCCACGGCUAACUCUGUGCCAGCAGCCGCGGUAAUACAGAGGUGGCAAGCGUUGUUCGGAAUUACUGGGCGUAAAGGGCGCGUAGGCGGCCUUCUAAGUCAGACGUGAAAUCCCCCGGCUCAACCUGGGAACUGCGUCUGAUACUGGGAGGCUUGAGUAUGGGAGAGGGAUGUAGAAUUCCAGGUGUAGCGGUGAAAUGCGUAGAUAUCUGGAGGAAUACCGGUGGCGAAGGCGGCAUCCUGGACCAUUACUGACGCUGAGGCGCGAAAGCUAGGGGAGCAAACGGGAUUAGAUACCCUUGUAGUC
rnacentral:rRNA from 1 species